rnacentral:tRNA from 1 species
GCUCCAGUGGCGCAAUCAGUCAGAGCGUGGUACUUAUAAGACAGUACAAUGUUUAGCAAUGCCGAGGUUGUGAGUUCGAACCUCAUCUGGAGCA